AUCUUUUUGCCACGUCAUCCUGGAAACCGGUCUUUCAAAGGUCUGAAGCUUAUUUGUUUUGUUCUUCUCCCAACUAUCCCACUUUGUCGUAACUGAUCAAAUUCUGCACUUCUCAGUUACAGUAAUCUACGAUUUAUCAAUCUAUUAUGCUUUUAAGUCAUCUUAAAUAGUUUCGUUCCAUCUCCCCUUAUAUCUCCUUCUAUGUAAAUUAUAAAGUGCUCCAUCUGAUCUUAAAUCAACCCUAAUUGAAAAACUUCACUGAAGAAGCUACAGCUAUUGCCAUGAAAUCCACCGGUGAGCAUGUCUACCAUCGCCACCGGGACCAGCCGAAUCUGGACUCCAUUUUCGGUUAAGAAGGCCAGAAACUUUGCUAAUGGCCGGACUUUAUUGGGUUAGAGCUCUUCCUCAUCCAUGAACAGGUAUGAAUACUUUUUCCCAACUUUUCUUCCGUCAUAUUCUAUACAUGUUUCUCUAAGCUGAUUGAUUCCUGAAGGGGACUGUGCUGCAAGGAUUCGUCUCCUCUAAAGCAGGGACAUUGACGGUCAUCUUCUCCAGCUUUAUUUCUUUAUCUGCGUGUUAACUUAGAUUUGUUUGGCCACAUUCAACUACUAAUCUUCUGAACAAUGUUGUUGAUGUUGUUGGUCACUUGAUCUGGUAAUAGACAGUCUCUAAUGGACUUUCCUGUCCCUGACGAAGUGGAGAUAGCAACCACACGUCGUUUUUUUGGUUCAUUUGCAAUCAAAAGAGUAUGUUUUCCUGUACUUAGAAUGACUGACGCCUCUGUGAAUUCCAACUCUCUACAGUACAGACCUUGUAUUUUAUUCAGUCCUACAACUGAAAUUGACGUCUCACCCAAUGGAAAAUUGCUCGAGUAGAUGAUAUGUAAUUGUAGUUUUUUUCUUCUUUUAAAGCAUGAGAAUGGCUAUAGUUUUUCGUUUUUAAUUUAUGGGUGAUUUGAUGUCUUUUUUAAUAUCUUCACCAUCUUUUGAUCUUUGCCAUGAAAGUAAUAAGAGCUAUAUCCUCAUUUCUUUGAUUGCAGGCUUGCAGCUUAAUCAUCCCCAACAUCGUUUACUGUUGAUCGGAGUAUUGUGUUGUUGUUGUGAUUGCUAAGCCUAGACAUCAUAGCUUUUCCAGAACUUUAUGGAACCUGCAUAUGGAAACAACGAGACGUCCCUCAACCGUUUAUGCCUGAUUUAUCAGGAAGAUAGAGUGCUCAAAUUUAACCUUCCAAUCCUAAUGCUCCAGUUGCUAAUUUAGUGCUUAACUACUCCAUACAAACAGGGGAGGUGUUUUAUCUUGACUUUAUGCUUACAGCAUCUACCAUCUGAGGAGAAGAAAAAUAUGAGCAAAGGUGAUACCUUUUUAGCAUGUUCUUUGAAUCUUUGUUAUUUUUCCAGAUUUCACAUAUAUAUACAUCGGGCUUAUCAUAUGUAAGCCUCUCCAUCUCCUUUCAAAAAGAGAUAUUUGUCUUCAAGCUUUCAA